rnacentral:rRNA from 1 species
GACGAACGCUGGCGGCGCGCUUAACACAUGCAAGUCGAGCGAGAACCAGGGCUUCGGCCCUGGGGAAAGCGGCGAACGGGUGAGUAACACGUGAGUAACCUGUCCUCGGCACCGGGAUAGCCCGGGGAAACCCGGNUUAAUACCGGAUGGCCUUUCGGGUCUUCGGACUCGUCAGAAAAGGGAGCUUCGGCCUCCGGCCGAGGAGGGACUCGCGGCGGAUUAGCUUGUUGGUGAGGUAACGGCUCACCAAGGCACGAUCCGUAGCUGGUCUGAGAGGACGA